GAUGAACGCUAGCGAUAGGCUUAACACAUGCAAGUCGAGGGGCAGCACAAGGUAGCUUGCUCUCUGGGUGGCGACCGGCGCACGGGUGCGUAACGCGUAUGCAACUUGCCCUAUACAGGAGGAUAACCCGUCGAAAGACGGACUAAUACUGCGUAUGCUCACAACUUGGCAUCAAGUGGUGAGGAAAGAAGUUCGGUAUAGGAUAGGCAUGCGUCCCAUUAGCUUGUUGGUGAGGUAACGGCUCACCAAGGCAACGAUGGGUAGGGGAACUGAGAGGUUUAUCCCCCACACUGGUACUGAGACACGGACCAGAAUCCUACGGGAGGCAGCAGUGAGGAAGAUUGGUCAAUGGGCGCGAGCCUGAACCAGCCAAGUCGCGUGAAGGAUGACUGUCUUAUGGAUUGUAAACUUCUUUUAUACGGGAAUAACAAGAGUCACGUGUGACUCCCUGCAUGUACCGUAUGAAUAAGCAUCGGCUAACUCCGUG
rnacentral:rRNA from 1 species